rnacentral:lncRNA from 1 species
UUGAUGGAUUGUCAACUUCUAUUUGGAAAGAGUUAUUCAACAGCGAGCCUGAUGGGGAAAAGCCGUCGUGGCUAUUGCAGACCAGCAGCUGCUUUUAAGGUGUUGUUUGAGCUUUUGUUUGUUUCAUGCGUCCGGAUCAGAAGAAACUUUGGCAGGGAGGAAGCUGGUGAUCUGUGCAAGACAGACCGAAGGCAAGGAAAGGACUGUAUCAGUAAUGGCAAGAAGUCGGAUCUUUUAACUCAGCUGGUAAGUGCUUUUCCAUUCUGUUUAAGAGCUAACUAACAGGGCUAAUCCCAUGUGUUUCCCUCACAGGGUCGUAGAUGUUGUAAAUCCAUGGAAUGGAAGUGUUGUCUGCAGCAAUAAUGCCUUAAAAAAAUGGUGUGUGAGUUUGAUAUUGGAAGGUCGACAUGUUGUGUGAUGCUGUUUGGCGACUUCCAAAACUUGACCGAAGCAAACUGUACAAGUAUCUAGCACCAACAGGUAUUUCACUCUAGUAUGUUACCAUCACCCAUGUCGCUGUGCCUGGGAUUCCAUUGUGUAGGGGAAAGAGCAUGUAGAACGAUGGUGGAGCGAUCACGGCGCUUGGCGGUGCCGAGCUUUUCACAGUAAAGGUGUUCCCGUUUGCUCGUAAUGGUGUGGAAACCGCUAGUUUGAGCU